UUUCUUUUCCGGACCCUGCAGUGGCGCCUAAAGUCUGCGAGAAGGAAAUCGCCUCUGUGCUCAUCAGCCAAUCAGCGUCGCCGCGGUUCCUGGUUCUAAAGUCCUCGCCGGCCCACCGGGACUCAGAUUCUCCCCAGACGCCAAGGAUGCGGGUCAUGGCGUCCCGAACCCUCCUCCUGCUGCUCUCGGGAGCCGUGGUCCUGAUCCAGACCUGGGCAGAUUACAAUUACAAUCAAGGCAGAAAUGAUCUCAUUUUUACACAAUUUUCAGCAUUCUUUACGGCCAGCAGCCCUUGGUUGGUGCAGAUGGUGAUAGGACCAGUGGGUCCCACAGCCAUUGCCACACUGCACCUCCUUCCCUGUCAAGUGCGUCCCCCAUGAAGAUACUGCAUGGAGAGCACUGCCAAGCCUGUGGAUCAGGAAUAUCAACAGCCCCCAGAGAGUGGUGCUGGCUGAGGGUCUGAGAGCAGGACAGGAAAACCCACCUAUGGAAUAGGUGCCUAUCCCUGUGAAGAUGAACCUCUGGCCUUUCCAGGAUGGAAGGAGUGCAAUGUAGUCAACUCCUCACUUAGGGUAUGAUUGGUCACCUAAAGAAAUAGAGCCCUACCAGGUAACAUCAUUGGGUUCAAAUGCUGAUGAGUAGGACAUUUAGAGGUGGCAGCAUCUGGAUCUACCUUGGUAGCAGGGAGUCAGUACUGUUGGACCCAUAGGUAGCCUCAUCCCUGACACUGUGUUUGCUCCAUUUAUGUACCCAUCCUACCCGACCUGGGCUGACCCAUGGGGAAGGCUGGCUAAUUUCAAUGCUUCUGCUUCGUUUUUCAGGGCCAUUUCAGGUUUGGGUGUUUUCUGGGGAUGUUAACAUGGGAUUCAGGCUCAACUCACAUGAAACAUUUCCAUCUCAAGAUGGAUGCUGUUGGGCAUGUCCAAUGUAUGACUUCAUGAGUUACACAGAUGCUAAUUCGUAGGGGCACUUGGAAUCACAUGGUUGUUUUGUGUCCCAUGGUCAAGCAUUCUAUCUUAUCAGGGCCAGGAACAUGCCAAAAGUUGCUUCCAACAUAUUUCUCUGCUUUGGAUGGGGCAUAUUUCUCUGCUGUGGAUGACAUGGCCUUACUCCAGAAUCCCAGGCCCUCCAUUGUGACUCUCCUACUGGUGCUUGGUUCAGCUCCAUCCCAAAUCUUACCCCACCACUGGCACUUUCAGCACCAGGGGGUCUGAAGGAUGGUGACUGCGCCAUGGCCUGGAUCUGCUGCAGUGUCCUUUCCUGUGGAGGCUCCACUCAAAGCUGGCAUCCUCCUAUGUCACCUUGAGUGUGGGCCAAAGCAAUAUACCUACAUGUAGAAUGUGAUGUCAGAACUCAAACAGGUUCACCAGGCAGUGUGCUUCCUUCCUUGCAUGAGAAUGCAAGAUGCAACAGUUUAUUUUUCACAUUGGAAGGGACACCCCUGGAUGCCCCUAACCACUGGACCUGUAAAACUUCUCUGCAGUGGCCAUUUCUGAAUCUCUGUAAGGUUUAUCUUCAUCCUCUCUAGAGAAGAUGUUUUACCAAAGCCUCCAGUGUACUUUCCUCCUCUUGCUCAUCCAUCCCGGUCAACAUGAUGUUGUCAAUGAAAUAAAGGAAUUUAAUAUUCUAUAGGAUAUCCAGGUUCUCCAGAUCUCUUAAGACUGUACUAUAGAGGGCUGGGGAAUUAUAAUAGCCCUGAGGCAAACUAUAAAUUAAAGUGUUGUGAAUCCCACAUGAA
rnacentral:sRNA from 1 species